rnacentral:tRNA from 1 species
UUGAUUUAUUAAAAAAUUUCUAACACAACAGGACAAUGAUCGGAAUAUUGAACCUCUGGCAUGAGAUAAGCAU